AGAUCCACGGGAGCUCCAUUGCAACAGAAAAAGGCAUGCCUCUUCAGUUUACUUACAGUGAGUACAAAUGAAGUCUGUGGGCCAACAAGGAGCGAGGAGCAGUUUCCUGGAAGCCCUGGGCUGGUGUUUGACUUGCUUUGAGAUAGAAUAAAUGGGAGAAAGAGACUUUAUGGGACAUCUGGGCCUAGGGCUCCUGGAUGCUGUGCUGAAAACACCACGUACAGAAGCCAGUCUAACCUUCUGGA
rnacentral:lncRNA from 1 species